GGGGAGGCGGCCCGUGCGGAGCAGAGAGCCGGGGCUGGCGGGGGCAGCGAGGCGCGGGCGGCGGAGCGGCGGGAUGCGGCGCUGGCGGGGCGCGGGGCUGGCGGCGCUGGCCGCGGUGCUGCUCGUGGCUGCGGGCAGAGCCCAGGUGCAGCAGGAGCCGUUGGCACAAACCCCCGAGGGCACGGAAAUCACCAUCAACUGCUCACACCCCAGCAUAGGGACUGCUGACUAUAUCCACUGGUACCGUCAGCUCCCGGGCCGCGGCCCCGAAUUCCUCGUGAACUUUCUCAAAGGCUCCAAAGAUCUGCCGGACAAGGCGGGCCAGGUGUCGGUGUCGCCAGACCGUCGCUGGAGCACCCUCUGUCUCUCCGGGCCCCGUGUUGGGGACGCGGCGGUGUAUUACUGCGCCGUGGGAGACACGGCCAGAGGAGCCGGGGCUGCGGCCGGGCACGAACCGCCGCGGGCGGGGCCGGGCGGGGCCGGGGGCACAGCGCCGGCCGGGGCCAGCAGGGGCCGCUCCUGCACCUCCAGAUUUCUUUCUCAAACCAUGUCCCGCCUUCCUGGGCCCCCUUGUUUCAAAGGGCUGCUUUCCAAGGGCCUUUCCGAAUCGGUGUCCUCAACAAGCCCAAGUCCAGCCUCCAGCAGUCGAGGGUACAGGUUUGAUUGA